GACGAACGCUGGCGGCGUGCUUAACACAUGCAAGUCGAACGGAAAGGCCCUGCUUUUGUGGGGUGCUCGAGUGGCGAACGGGUGAGUAACACGUGAGUAACCUGCCCUUGACUUUGGGAUAACUUCAGGAAACUGGGGCUAAUACCGGAUAGGAGCUCCUGCUGCAUGGUGGGGGUUGGAAAGUUUCGGCGGUUGGGGAUGGACUCGCGGCUUAUCAGCUUGUUGGUGGGGUAGUGGCUUACCAAGGCUUUGACGGGUAGCCGGCCUGAGAGGGUGACCGGCCACAUUGGGACUGAGAGACGGCCCAGACUCCUACGGGAGGCAGCAGUGGGGAAUAUUGCACAAUGGGCGGAAGCCUGAUGCAGCAACGCCGCGUGCGGGAUGACGGCCUUCGGGUUGUAAACCGCUUUAGCCUGUGACGAAGCGUGAGUGACGGUAAUGGGUAAAGAAGCACCGGCUAACUACGUG
rnacentral:rRNA from 1 species